rnacentral:tRNA from 1 species
CCGUCACUGGCUCAGCGGGACAGAGCAUUAACCUUCUAAGUUGAUGGUGCGGGGUUCGGGCCCUAGAUGGCAGG